UCUCUAGUUGACUUUCUGCCUCCCCUUGUGAAUGGGCAGUUUAUCAGGCCAAUACAAAGUCACCAUCUAGUGGUAAGAUCCUCUAACUGCAGGCUACACAGCCCAUCUUUGAUUUUUCUCUGCACCCCUUUUGCCUUAUUUCCACACCCACCUUCCACCCUUGCAGUUAUUUCCAAACUUCAAGAAAUAAUUUACAAAGGAAAUAAGGAAUUUUCCAGUAAAUGCCAAUAAAGGCAUUUAUUAAGGCAAUACCAGACUUAUAUUAGGCAGUGAUCUAGCCUGCCAACGGACUAGUUUAGCAGCCUAGAUCUUGAGAUAUAAAGAGACAUCAAAAGAACGCUACAUAUGACUCACAUGGUGAACAACUGUAGAUAACCGUAACUUGAGAAGACCGGAGUGCUAGACUCUACUUCACUAAAGGAGCUCUACAAUCUUAGCAGCUUCCUGAGAAUUGACCAAGUGCCCGUCAAGCAAAAAAACAAAAACAAAACAAAACAAAAAAACAGCUACUUCUGAAAAGGAGAUUCACACAAUGUAGAACACCAAGAAUGAACCCUAACGGGAACUAUGGGCUUCCGGUGAUAAUGACGUGUCCGUUUAGGUUCAUCGAUCGUAACCAGUGAACUGCUCUGGUGGAGGAUGUUGAUGGGAGGCUGUGCAAGUGCCAGAUAAAUGAGCAUAUGGAAGACGGUAACAUUUCGUUGUUCAGCUGGAGAUUAGAGCAGGGUGAAAGGAGCUUUGAAACCAAACAGUCCAGGACCUCUUGCCAAGCUGCAUAGAUAGCCCUAGGCGCAUCCCUACUUUCUCUGGGCCUGCUUUCUCAUCUGGAAAAACGAGAUAAAAAUAACUACCCUGAACGUCUGCUGUGAAAAGUGAACCAUCACCAGAAGAUGCGUCAAGAACAGCACUGCACACACUGGGUGUUUCGUAUCAUUUACUGCAAUUUGUAGGAGGGACUACACAAGCUUCACCAGCAGGCUCUCACAUACCAGGAGAAGCAAAAAAAGCUGAAGGAUUAAGGACCCCAAAAGAUAUGCCUUGAGGUGAGCUGGGAUAUUUCCCAGAGGCACUGAGGAUAUUGUGUAGUCCUGCUGCCAUGUGCUUGGGGUGUGCAGACCCAACAGUGGGCAGUGGCCUCUGAGCAGAAGCUGUUUCAUCUUUACAAGCCUUGGGAUUCGAGGAGAGAAUUACCCACCACCCCCCCCCCCCCCCGCCAAAAUCAGCGGUAAUCCCAGUCCCACUUCACCCAGGCUAACCCUCAAGGCAAGGCGUUGUGGGGAAAUCCUAAAGUACUAGGUCAUGGAGAGAGGCAAGAGGAAAGCCCCCAAGACACCCUUUAUGUCAGUUUGAGUCCCGCCCAAGCCCCUCUCCUCCUGUUGGCACUGUCCCCCACCCCUACCAACCAGACCCACACAGAAUUAAUUUGAGUCACACAAAGCCAGUCUUGUCACACUCCGGGCUAGGAACGGACAGGCAUGUUAUCUGCAGCCAGCUAUUUACAGGCACUAACAGGAAGGUUUCCCUCUAUCUCUGCCAUCUUCCCUUAUCAAACAGCCCAGGCGGCAGCUGCAGCAACCCCAGCAGGAGGCCUCCACCAGGCUCUGGAUAAGCCCGGCCCUGCUGGCACAUUCCUGUGCCUGGAUGGGAGUCUGUCCCACAAACUGCUUAGGGCUCCAACGCUAAGGUCUCCUCCUUCCUAAGGAGGUGCGGGGAUGGGGAGGGAGGGUGCUGGGGAAAUGCAGAGGAAAGUAGCAGCAGCUCAUCCCCUGAUGCCCUGGCACUGAGAAAAGAAGCAUGAGCCUCAGCUUUCCAGGAGGUCCUGAGUAGGGGAGGCCAAACCCAUUACUAUUCUCAGAUAGAAGUUGGGGGGCGGGAGGGGGUCCUGAGGUACUUUCUCAGCCUGGCAGUGAAAGCCAGCUUCUCUCUUUACUCCCUAGUUCCCAGCCACUGCAGAGAGCCCCUCUCUCUCCCCUUCAGUGGAGAGAAGCUUCUAGAUCCCACCUCUGCCCUAUGCCUCUCAUUUCCAGCACCAUAACAGACAUUAUCUUAUUUAAGGCAAGGUGGGCAUUUUCUGUAUUAUUACAAAAGCUUUCAACACAGGCAUAAUUACAUAUAUUUUACAUUUGGGAAAAAUGAAGGUUGCCCAUGUUAAUUAACAUGCCUAAAAUCACAAGUUUAGCAAGCAGUGAAGAUUUUAACCAAGCUUGCCUGCCUGCAAAGUCAGCGUUCUUUAUUACAACAAAGCAUCCUUAUACUAGCAUAUAGACAAGAACAUGGGUGACUAUGGCUUCCAGGUACAAAACAGGAAUACCCACUCCUCUCUUUCUCCAGGAAAGGCUCUCUGAAUUGACAAGAGCACUUUGGUACCAUGGGUCAGGUUGGGGAACUCAAACUGCCGGGCCCAUGACACAAAUAACCGCCACCCCACCUUCCCUAGGAUACAGCCAUUGCUGGGAAAUGGCACUCAACAUGAGGCUCCAUCUUACCACCACAAACCUUAUAUGGAGCCCCAUGCCCAGAAGCAGGGCAAGUCUAUAAGCUCUAUUAUAAGGGGUGCAGCCUAAUCAGCAAGUCUUAAAGCCCAUAAUUGGGGCAUUGUCCUCCCAUUGGGGCCAGGCGUUGUGUUUUCAAAAAUCUUCUGCUAAAAUCCUAGGGUUCCCUAGCAAAUGAGUUUCAGAAGCUUCCUUCCAAACCUCAGUAGAAGAGGCCUAGGAAAGCAUGUUCAAAAACAAACAAACAAACAAAAACAAACAAAACAACAAACAAACAAGCAAACAAAAAAAACCCCUGCUCAUUUCAAAUCCAUGAGGUUGCCAAGCCUUGGACUUGCAGCCCAUAUUAUUAGGCCACAAUAUGGUACUGAGUGGAGGACAUGUGGCAAAUAAAAGGGGUCUAAGGUUGCAUAAGGAGAAACUAGGAGGUCAUAGUCACAUCCCUGGUAAUGUCAAUGAUGUUGGCGUGGCCUGUGCCCCAUUAGGCUUAAACAGCAACAGGAUCCCAAUGAAAUUCACUCCCUUUAGCAAUAGAUUACUAUUCACACUGUUUACUGGACUGUGCUCUACCUCUCCACCCAAGUCACUGGGACCCAGAAAAUGCAUUGGGAGGGGCCCUUAUAGACUUUAUGUAAAUCACCUCCAGUCUUCCUGGUGCUAAAAAACUCAGAGGUGACCUUAAAGACAGUUGUUAGAGAGCCGCCACAUAGCACAACUAUGAUGACACAAUUCCCAUCAGACUCUACAUUAAUGGCACCCCCCUAGAGUUGUGCAGUGCACAGUCUGCACAGCAAAAUACUUCCAGCCUUAUCCAUUCUCCUCCUCCUUUCUGCAGGAUGCAAGCUUAUUCUAAUAGAGAGGACUUUGCUCACUAGAGAGAGAUGAGGUGGCAACAUGAAGUGAAAAUUAGGCAGCAUCCCAGAAGAAAAGAAAGCUCUCCUCUCCAUUCACCCCAGGUAACACUUUUAGAUACACCAUAUUGAAACUGAGUUAGCAGUUCACAAAUCUGUUCCCCUUGCCAGAUUAUGAAUUCCUCAAGGUCAGAGACUAUACCCUAUCCCAGCACCUGGCACAGAAACUGGGACAUAGUAGGUGUUCAAUAUCCCUUUGUUGACAGAUAGAUGGAUGAGUGAGCAGAUGCAUUUGUUUACAAAUAUGCUGAGUGCCUCUUCUAUAUCAAGCACUGUUCCAGGCACAGGCAAUGCAAUAGUAAAUGAAAUAGGCAAAAAUUCUAUCCCUGCCCAUGUGGAACUUAUAUUCCCAGAAACUGAAUGAGUGAAUAAAGAAGUAAAAGCACUGAAAAAUAUAGGACUUCAGGAGAUGUCUGUAUGAUAAUGGUUGACAGCUACUGACUGCUAACCUCAUGUCAAGGGCUGAAGCCUCAUACUCUAGGAGACAGUAUGAUGAACCUUUCAAGAGCAUAGCCAUAAAAGUAUAUUUUCAAAGCCAUGCUCAACUCUGCCGCUUGCUAACUCUGUGACCUUGGGAAAGUUACUUAACCCCUCUGAGCUUUAACUUCCUCAGCUAUCAAAUGGGGAUAAUACAGUUAUUGCAAGGAUUAAAUUAUAUAAUUCUCAUAGAGAUCACUUAGACUGGUUCCUGGCACACACUAAACAUCCAUAGGUGAAGAGCUAUUGUUACUAUCUCAUUUAACUCUUCCAUCAGCCCUAUGAGACAGGUACCAUCAGCAUUUAGGUAAUGCAGAAAUAGAGGCUUAGAGAAAUAAAAGAUGGUAUCUAAAAUCACACAAAUGGGGAUGCCUGGGUGGCUCAGUGGUUUAGUGCCUGCCUUCCGCCCAGGGCAUGAUCCUGGAGCCCCAGGAUCAAGUCCCA